rnacentral:rRNA from 1 species
GGGAAUAUUGCACAAUGGGCGCAAGCCUGAUGCAGCAACGCCGCGUGAGGGACGACGGCCUUCGGGUUGUAAACCUCUUUUAGCAGGGAAGAAGCGAAAGUGACGGUACCUGCAGAAAAAGCACCGGCUAACUACGUUCCAGCAGCCGCGGUAAUACGUAGGGUGCAAGCGUUAUCCGGAAUUAUUGGGCGUAAAGAGCUCGUAGGCGGUUUGUCGCGUCUGCUGUGAAAACUGGGGGCUCAACCCCCAGCCUGCAGUGGGUACGGGCAGACUAGAGUGCGGUAGGGGAGAUUGGAAUUCCUGGUGUAGCGGUGGAAUGCGCAGAUAUCAGGAGGAACACCGAUGGCGAAGGCAGAUCUCUGGGCCGUAACUGACGCUGAGGAGCGAAAGGGUGGGGAGCAAACAGG